rnacentral:rRNA from 1 species
CCUACGGGAGGCAGCAGUGAGGAAUAUUGGUCAAUGGACGAGAGUCUGAACCAGCCAAGUAGCGUGAAGGAUGACUGCCCUAUGGGUUGUAAACUUCUUUUAUAAGGGAAUAAAACGAGGCACGUGUGCCUUUUUGCAUGUACUUUAUGAAUAAGGAUCGGCUAACUCCGUGCCAGCAGCCGCGGUAAUACGGAGGAUCCGAGCGUUUUCCGGAUUUAUUUGGGUUAAAGGGAGCGUAGAUGGGUUGUUAAGUCAGUUGUGAAAGUUUGCGGCUCAACCGUAAAAUUGCCAUUGAUACUGGCAGUCUUGAGUACAGUUGAGGUAGGCGGAAUUCGUGGUGUAGCGGUGAAAUGCUUAGAUAUCACGAAGAACCCCGAUUGCGAAGGCAGCUUACUAAACUGUGACUGACAUUGAUGCUCGAAAGUGUGGGUAUCAAACAGGAUUAGAUACCCUGGUAGUC